rnacentral:rRNA from 1 species
UACGUAGGUGGCAAGCGUUGUCCGGAAUUAUUGGGCGUAAAGCGCGCGCAGGCGGUCUUUUAAGUCUGAUGUGAAAUCUUGCGGCUCAACCGUAAGCGGUCAUUGGAAACUGAAAGACUUGAGUACAGAAGAGGAGAGUGGAAUUCCACGUGUAGCGGUGAAAUGCGUAGAUAUGUGGAGGAACACCAGUGGCGAAGGCGACUCUCUGGUCUGUAACUGACGCUGAGGCGCGAAAGCGUGGGGAGCAAACAGG